rnacentral:lncRNA from 10 species
CUCCAGCCUGGGUGACAGAGCAAGACUCUGUCAAAAAAAAAUUAAGAAAGAAAUAAAGAAAAUCGAAAUAAAGAAAAUCAAAAUAAAUGAAAGUUCUAUCAUAUUCAUGGAUCGUAAGACUCAAUAUUGGUAAGAUUUCAAUUCUCCACAAAUUGAUCUACAAAAUCAACACAGUUCCAAUCAAAACCUUGGUGGGCUUUAUUUGGUAGAAUGAGCUGAUUCUAAAAUUUAUUUAGAAAUGCAAAGUACCUAGAAUAGCCAAAAUAACUUUGAAGCAGAAUAAGUUGGAGGACUUACUACUUGAUUCAAGAAUUCUCAUAAAGCUACAGUAAAAAAAACAAUGUGUUAUUGUUGCAGGUAAUACAUAAAUAGAUCAGUGAAACAGAAAAGAAAGUCAAGCAAUAGACCUGCACAUAUAUAGUCAGUUGAUUUUUUUUUUUUUUUGAGAUGGAG